rnacentral:rRNA from 1 species
GAUGAACGCUAGCUACAGGCUUAACACAUGCAAGUCGAGGGGAAACGAUAUUGGAAGCUUGCUUCCGAUAGGCGUCGACCGGCGCACGGGUGAGUAACGCGUAUCCAACCUGCCCACCACUUGGGGGAUAACCUUGCGAAAGUAAGACUAAUACCCAAUGAUAUCUCUAGAAGACAUCUGAAAGAGAUUAAAGAUUUAUCGGUGAUGGAUGGGGAUGCGUCUGAUUAGCUUGUUGGCGGGGUAACGGCCCACCAAGGCGACGAUCAGUAGGGGUUCUGAGAGGAAGGUCCCCCACAUUGGAACUGAGACACGGUCCAAACUCCUACGGGAGGCAGCAGUGAGGAAUAUUGGUCAAUGGGCGAGAGCCUGAACCAGCCAAGUAGCGUGCAGGAUGACGGCCCUAUGGGUUGUAAACUGCUUUUAUAAGGGAAUAAAGUUAGUCUCGUGAGACUUUUUGCAUGUACCUUAUGAAUAAGGACCGGCUAAUUCCGUG